AUUGAACGCUGGCGGCAGGCUUAACACAUGCAAGUCGAGCGGGGUGAUGGUGCUUGCACUAUCACUUAGCGGCGGACGGGUGAGUAAUGCUUAGGAAUCUGCCUAUUAGUGGGGGACAACAUCUCGAAAGGGAUGCUAAUACCGCAUACGUCCUACGGGAGAAAGCAGGGGAUCACUUGUGACCUUGCGUUAAUAGAUGAGCCUAAGUCGGAUUAGCUAGUUGGUGGGGUAAAGGCCUACCAAGGCGACGAUCUGUAGCGGGUCUGAGAGGAUGAUCCGCCACACUGGGACUGAGACACGGCCCAGACUCCUACGGGAGGCAGCAGUGGGGAAUAUUGGACAAUGGGGGGAACCCUGACCCAGCCAUGCCGCGUGUGUGAAGAAGGCCUUAUGGUUGUAAAGCACUUUAAGCGAGGAGGAGGCUCUUUUGGUUAAUACCCAAGAUGAGUGGACGUUACUCGCAGAAUAAGCACCGGCUAACUCUGUGCCAGCCGCCGCGGUAA
rnacentral:rRNA from 1 species